AGAGUUUGAUCCUGGCUCAGAAUCAACGCUGGCGGCGUGCCUAACACAUGCAAGUCGAACGCGAAAGGGGCUUCGGCCCUGAGUAGAGUGGCGAACGGGUGAGUAACGCGUGGGUGACCUACCUUCGAGUGGGGGAUAACGUUCCGAAAGGAACGCUAAUACCGCAUGAAGUUCUGGAUUUGAACAUCUGGAAACCAAAGCCGGGGACCGCAAGGCCUGGCGCUUGGAGAGGGGCCCGCGUCUGAUUAGCUAGUUGGCGGGGUAACGGCCCACCAAGGCGACGAUCAGUAGCCGGCCUGAGAGGGCGGACGGCCACACUGGGACUGAGACACGGCCCAGACUCCUACGGGAGGCAGCAGUGGGGAAUUGUUCGCAAUGGGCGCAAGCCUGACGACGCAACGCCGCGUGGGGGAUGAAGGUCUUCGGAUUGUAAACCCCUGUCGAGCGGGACGAAUGGCCCGCGACCUAACACGUCGCGGGAGUGACGGUACCGCUAAAGGAAGCCACGGCUAACUCUGUGCCAGCAGCCGCGGUAAUACAGAGGUGGCAAGCGUUGUUCGGAAUUACUGGGCGUAAAGGGCGCGUAGGCGGCCUUCUAAGUCAGACGUGAAAUCCCCCGGCUCAACCUGGGAACUGCGUCUGAUACUGGAAGGCUUGAAUGCGGGAGAGGGAUGCAGAAUUCCAGGUGUAGCGGUGAAAUGCGUAGAUAUCUGGAGGAAUACCGGUGGCGAAGGCGGCAUCCUGGACCGACAUUGACGCUGAGGCGCGAAAGCUAGGGUAGCAAACGGGAUUAGAUACCC
rnacentral:rRNA from 1 species